rnacentral:rRNA from 1 species
UACGUAGGGUGCGAGCGUUGUCCGGAAUUACUGGGCGUAAAGAGCUCGUAGGUGGUUUGUCGCGUUGUUCGUGAAAACUCACAGCUCAACUGUGGGCGUGCGGGCGAUACGGGCAGACUGGAGUACUGCAGGGGAGACUGGAAUUCCUGGUGUAGCGGUGGAAUGCGCAGAUAUCAGGAGGAACACCGGUGGCGAAGGCGGUUCUCUGGGAAUGUCCUGACGCUGAGGAGCGAAAGUGUGGGGAGCGAACAGG